rnacentral:rRNA from 1 species
GACGAACGCUGGCGGCGUGCUUAACACAUGCAAGUCGAACGAUGAAGCGGGUGCUUGCACUCGUGGAUUAGUGGCGAACGGGCGAGUAACACGUGAGUAACCUGUCCUUUUCUUUGGGAUAACGGCUGGAAACGGCUGCUAAUACUGGAUAUUCAGGCUGCAUCGCAUGGUGUGGUUUGGAAAGGUUUUUUCUGGGAUUGGGUGGGCUCGCGGCCUAUCAGCUUGUUGGUGGGGUGAUGGCUUACCAUGGCUUUGACGGGUAGCCGGCCUGAGAGGGUGGUCGGUCGCACUGGGACUGAGAUACGGCCCAGACUCCUACGGGAGGCAGCAGUGGGGAAUAUUGCACAAUGGACGAAAGUUUGAUGCAGCGACGCCGCGUGGAGGGUGUAGGCCUUCGGGUUGUGAACUCCUUUGUCUCGCGAAAAAGGCACAGUUUUGGCUGUGUUGAUGGUAGUGGGGGAAGAAGCGCCGGCUAACUACGUG